UACGUAGGGUGCAAGCGUUGUCCGGAAUCAUUGGGCGUAAAGCGCGCGUAGGUGGUCAUGUAAGUCCGCUGUGAAAGUCAAAGGCUCAACCUUUGAAAGCCGGUGGAUACUGCAUGACUAGAGUACGGAAGAGGCGAGUGGAAUUCCUGGUGUAGCGGUGGAAUGCGCAGAUAUCAGGAGGAACACCAAUAGCGAAGGCAGCUCGCUGGGACGUUACUGACACUGAGACGCGAAAGCGUGGGGAGCAAACAGG
rnacentral:rRNA from 1 species